rnacentral:rRNA from 1 species
GUGCAGCAGUCACGAAUAGUCUACAAUGGACGAAAGUCUGAUAGUGCGACGCCGUGUGUGCGAUUAAUUCCUUCGGGAUGUAAAGCACUUUUCUAUGAGAUAAAAGCUCUUUAGGUUAAUAGCUUAUUGAGACGGAUAUUAUUAUAGGAAUAAGCUCCGGCUAACUCCGUGCCAGCAGCCGCGGUAAUACGGAAGGAGCGAGCGUUGUCCGGAUUUACUAGGCGUAAAGGGCUAGUAGGCGACUAAUUAAGUUAUAUGUUAAAUCCCACGGCUCAACUGUGGUCCUGCAUGUAAUACUGGUUAGAUAGAGUACUGUAGAGGAAGGCAGAAUUCCUGGGAGUAGCGGUGGAAUGCGCAGAUAUCAGGAAGAAUACCAAGAGCGAAGGCAGCCUUCUGGGCAGUUACUGACGCUGAAUAGCGAAGGUGUGGGUAG